CUACGGGGGGCACCAGUGGGGAAUAUUGCACAAUGGGGGAAACCCUGAUGCAGCAACGCCGCGUGGAGGAUGACACAUUUCGGUGCGUAAACUCCUUUUAUAGGUCAAGAUAAUGACGGUAGCCUAUGAAUAAGCGCCGGCUAACUCCGUGCCAGCAGCCGCGGUAAUACGGAGGGCGCAAGCGUUACUCGGAAUCACUGGGCGUAAAGAGCAUGUAGGCGGGUUAAUAAGUCAGAAGUGAAAUCCAAUAGCUCAACUAUUGAACUGCUUUUGAAACUGUUAACCUAGAGUGUGGGAGAGGUAGAUGGAAUUUCUGGUGUAGGGGUAAUAUCCGUAGAGAUCAGAAGGAAUACCGAUUGCGAAGGCGAUCUACUGGAACAUUACUGACGCUGAGAUGCGAAAGCGUGGGGAGCAAACAGGAUUAGAUACCCGUGUAGUC
rnacentral:rRNA from 1 species